GACACAGACGCCUUGCACAGAGGAAAGAAGAUAAAUUAAAAAUUAUUUAACAGCUUAGGAAUGGGAUUCCAAACACACUUCAACUGCAUGCUGAUAGAGCUACCGUUAAGUUGAUCAAUCUGGAGGUGACUCUAACAUGAAAGACUGAAGUGCCAUAGUUGUAGAAGAUGCUUUAAGUUUUGCUGCCUGGUCCAAAUCAAGUCUAUACAGAAGUCUGGUUGAAUUUGGUUAGCUAUGCUUCCUAAUCAAGGUGCGUAACAAAGCAAUUUUAGGUUCAAUGAAAAAGUCUGUUCAAGAUCACUAGUUCAAAUUCCCUGUGUAUAUAAACCGUCACUACUUAGUCUCUUUCCAGAUGCUUUUCUGACAUAUGCAACAGUGCUGCUGGCUAACAAGUACGUAAGUCCAUUCUUAACAAAUCAAAAGAGACAAGUGAAAGGUAGUCCUCACCUGCAAGUCUUUUGAAUGGCAAUGACACAUUUUUGCACUAUUUAGCAGAUCAUUUAGACAAGUUUCCUUUAGGACUACAAAUCCAAGAAUACCAUAUGCUGUGCUAGCUGGGGAGUCUGGGAACUGUUGUUCAAAAAAAAAGUAAAUGUUCUGUUUCCCAAAAGGUCAGCAUUAGAUAAGCAUGCAAGAGUAGCGCUUUGCAGGUGAAACAGUCCCAUUGAAUCAACAGGAGUGCUGGUGUGACAAGACAUUAUUCAGUGUGACUGAGAGUAGCUGACUCCUGCCUUGAGACAGGAUAUCAUUUAAGGACAUAAAGAUUUCUCCGAAUAGUGACAUCCCUAUAAAUCAAAGUCAACUAAUUUGACAACAAACCCUUACAGGUCUUACAGGUACUGCAUAAUGUCCUUUAGUAGACACUAUAUUACAAACAGUCAUUAGCCCUGCUAUAAAAAAGGUUUAAAUACUAAUGUAUUUUUUAAUUUGUUUUAUAUCCUAAACAAGUAAUCAAUGCACAUUAAUAAACAUAAUUGGUUUUUUGGCAUUUGUCCAUUCGUUUGGUCCACUUUGUCAGACCUAGCAAGCUUCAGCAACCACAAGCACAAGUAGGAAACACAGCAUCAAGGCCUUCUGCAAUAUGCAUAAUGUAUUGGAUUACUCAGCUGGCCUUGCUGUUGAAAGAUGGAGGCUUCUGAAGUUUACCAUACUGCUUUCUCCCAUGUAUUUCAAGCAAUGUUUCUGACAGAUUUCUCUCGGCUGUUUCACAUGUCCACAAUGUGUAAAGCGUCCACUUGAAAAUCCUUAAACAUGAUGCUUCCCAAAAUGUUCAAGCUGGUUUUCCUACCAAUUGUCAGAAUUGGCUGUUAAACUGCAAAUGUCCAUCUAGUCUCAAAUCCCCAUUUGGGGGGCAGGAUGAAUGAGGGGAUAAACACCCUUGCCUUUGAUAAGGUGAGUUUGUUGAUGGCAUGAGCCAGGGGAUCGCUUUUCAAAAGCAAAUAUGUACCGAGUCAGUGAAUACGGUUGUAACAGAGAAGCCCUCCUAGAUAAUCAUCUCCAUUUGAUCACUUGUAAACAUCCUCUUUAGUUUUCACUGUCUUUUGCCAGGGCCAUAGGGCCAUAAUUAACUCUCUCUUUUUUGUGUGUGACUUGGACCAACUCUAGCCUUGUUCCAUAGUUAGUGCACUAGCUCCAUCCACCCAACCUGGGUCAGUUAAUGGCUCUAUAUUGGUUACAAAGAAAGAGAAAAUUCCAAUGAAAUUACUAGAAGACGAGCAACACAUAGAGGCUGAAAUGGUGCCUUCCUUGGAUGUGCUCUGAAAUACACCAAAACACGAAUAAAAGGUAACUUAUUCAGUGUCAGUCUUACAUAUUUAUAGUUUGAAAAUUAGUCAAAGUUUAUGUCCGGAGGUUGCACCUACAGGAAGCCAGAUGUGUGCCUUCUGCAUGUGACCUAAGACAGGCCUGAAGCAAAAACUAGAUAAUUUCUCGCUCAUACUCUACACCGUCGAUUGCGGCGGCUUUCUGAGGUGAGAGAAACUGACAGCACUAACUCUCCAGGGCAGAACUUUCCAGUCAAGUGGAUCAACGGACUGAAAAUCUCUUAUGAAUAGUCAUUAGGCCUUCAUUACAAACCCCUCACAACCCAGUUCUCUUUUCGCAACCAAAUGCCUUUUGUCAUCUUCACAAGGUGCAUCAUUUAAUUACCAAUUGAUUUCUUUAUAUAUGACAACAUGUCAGAUAGCAAAAUACAGUGUAUCUCCCUUAGGGGAAGUAGUCUGUUAACUAUCAGUGUGCCAGAUUACUGAAUUUAGUGGUAAGACAGUUAUUCCCUAUGCUGUGCCUUUUUAAAAAACGAGCAUCCAGAACAUCUCAAGUUUCUUAUUUUUUAUUUCAGAAUUAACAGUACUAAAGAAAGGAGAGGUAAUGGAGGUUGGAGAAAGCUGAAAAAUGCCAGGAUAUGAUGGCUCUGAGAAUCAGCCAGAACGGUCCAAACCCACAACUGCCAGACGGGCUCCUAUUUUUAGAUACCUAAAUGUGUGUGUGUAUCUGCCUAUCUGUCUGACUGUGAGUGUAUUUGUAUGGGUACACACACAAGCGCACUUCUUGGCAUCUCUGCAGCCAUAGGCACACUGACACAGAAGGCCUCAAACAUGUCAAACAAUUGUUCUCAUUGAGUCUUCAUCCAGUCUCUGACUGAGCUUGCGCCCUGAAUUUUCCCCCUUCACAACUGUCGCUGGAUAAGCAAGCUGGUGCUAUAUUAAUAAGCUGAAUAAUCAGGGAAUUUCAGAAAUGUACAGGACUAUUAUACCGUAACAAUCAAACCUCCAACUGAGUAAACCAGAGCAGCACUGAAGGUAGGCGUUGGGAAAGAAUGAAACCAGUGUUGCAGUAAUGCCCUCCAUUGUAUGCCAGUGUAAAUGCCUGCUUCUUUCAGACACAGAAGCCACAUUACAUGAGUCCGAAAUGUUCUCAGAGCAUCACUGUGGACUGGUUGUGAUCGAACCUGGCACGGGCAAGCUGAAAGCUGACAUUAUACUGUAGGAUGUGCUGCAGGUGUAGGGGCCCGCAAACGUGCUCUAAUUACAUAUUUUCUAGCAGAGCAACAAUUAAGGUCGCCAAAAUAAUUGCCAGUUUGUUAAUCCUUCUCUAACAAGACUGACACAAGGAAGCGUUUAUUUUUCUCUCUCUGGUUAUUUGGAAAAGCACGCCUCAAGAUUUUGGGUCUUCCAUCACGCUUCAUCAAGACCUAAUUCUUAGUUUCCAGUGUGUGAUUAUAGUCAUUGUUGUCAUUUUUGUAAAGCCGCACCACUGUAACAACGGUCAUGAAGAAAUAUGGGGAGCACCUCUCAUGGCAUACUGUUCUGACAUUCCCAGUACAUAUGCUGCCCGCUGUUUGAUGUUUAAGAAUUUGAUCCUUGAUUGCAAUGGCCAUAUCACAGCUUAGGAUGCAUCUACACUGUGGAAUUAAUGCAGUUUGACACCCCUUUAACUGCCAUGGCUCAAUGCUAUGGAAUCCUCUAAAAUGUAAUUUUACACAGUGUUUAUCCUUCUCUACUAGAAAGUAUUGAUGCCUCACCAAACUACAUAUUCCAGGCUUUCCAUAACCUUGAGCCGUGGCAGUUCAAGUGGUACAUUAUUUCUACAGCGUUGGUGCAGUUUUAGAAGACUCUUUUGGGACUGGUUCUGAACAAUUUGACUGUCUUAAAGAAAUCUCUGGUGCUCUCUGGGCACACAUUUGGGGUCCUCUCUUGCUACAUAGUUACAACAAUUGGUCUCCACUUUAACUACCAUGGCUCUAUCCUAUGGAAACCUGGUCUUUGCUAUUUAAGGAGAGUACUUUGAAUUCUUAGCCAGAGAGCUCUAGCAUCUCACCAAACUAUACAUCACAUCAUUUCAUAGGCUAGUUAAAGUGGAAUCGUACAGCUAUAACCAUGUAGUAUGUAGGGAUCCCCUGAUUCUCAACCUUCCUAAUGCCACGACUCCUUGAUACAGGUCCUCAUCUUGUGGUGACCCCCAACCAUAAAAUUAUUUUUGUUGCUACUUCAUAACUGUAGUUUUGCUACUGUUAUGGAUCAUAAUGUAAAUGUAUGAUAUGCAGGAUUAUUUUCAUUCACUGGACCAAAUUUGGCACAAAUACUAGAUAUGCCCAAAUUUGAAUACUGGUGAGGUUGCGGGGAUUGAUUUUGUCAUUUGAGAGUUGUAGUUAUUGGGAUUUAUAGUUAACCUGCAAUCAGAAAGCAUCCUGAACUCCACCAACAAUGGAAUUGAACCAAACUUGCCACACAAAACUCCCAUGACCACCAGAAAAUACUGGAAGGGCAUUGACCUUGAGUUUGGAAUUGUAGUUCACCUACAUCCAGAGAGCACUGUGGACUCAAACAAUGAUGGAUCUGGACCAAACUUGUCAUGAAUACACAAUAUGCCCAAAUGUGAACACUGGUGGAGUUUGGGGAAAAUAGACCUUGACAUUUGGGAGUUGUAGUGUUUUCUGAUGGUCUUUGGUGACCCCUCUGAUACCCCCCUCAUGACCUGCCCAGGGGUCCCAACCCACAGGUUGAGAAACACUGAGUUAAAAUAAAUGUUCAGCUAAAACAUAUUCAACCCAAAGGUUUCCACUUCUACAAGGCCUCUAAAUUAACAAGAGCAUCGAGUCCCCUCAACAGUUGAAGAAAUCUCAGAAUUUGUAAUUAUAUUGGGUUGUUGUGAGUUUUCCGGGUUGUAUGGCCAUGUUCCAACGCAUUCUCUCCUGUGAGGUAUACCUCACAACCUCUGAGGAUGCUUGCUAUAAAUGUGAGUGAAACACCAGGAGAGAAUAUUUCUGGAACAUGGCCAUACAGCCUGGAAAACUCACAACAACCCAGUGAUUCCGGCCAUGAAAUCCUUCGACAAACAUGUAAUUACAUUGCUUUUCUUUCCCUCACACCCACAACCAUAUUAAUCUACCAUUUCCUCUAAGAUAUUCAAAGCAAUGGGUAGAUAAAUACCUGUAUCGUGCAAGUGUAUUAUUUGAGAGUUAUGGUGACCAAGAUCUCUUUAUGGAAUUCUACAUAACAUGUGAGUGUACAUUAUUUCAGUGCCUUAAGAGCUUUGGGGAUUCUGGGAGUUGUAAUCCCCAAAAAUAUGUUUUCCAAACUCGGGAUACAUCCAUGAUACAUUACUGCAUCCAGGCAAGAAUACACCCAUGUUGUGAAGGUGGGGCCGAAGAGGAGAAAUUUCCAUCUGCCCAGCAACUGGGAAGUUUGUUCAGGUUCACAGCACACGUUCUUGCCAUCAGCUUCUGUUCAGGUCAAAUCAGUCAAUCUUUAUUUCUUUAAUUUUUUAGGUCUUAUUUUCAAGCCGACAACUUCCUUUAUUUCUUUUUUGUAUCACCCUAGAUUGAAUUUGCACAUGAUGACUGAACAUGUGCACAGAGACUGAAGAGCAAAUUAAACCUCUCGUUCAGAGUCUUGAUCA